rnacentral:rRNA from 1 species
AUUGAACGCUGGCGGAAUGCUUUACACAUGCAAGUCGAACGGCAGCACGGGUGCUUGCACCUGGUGGCGAGUGGCGAACGGGUGAGUAAUGCGUCGGAACGUACCGAGUAAUGGGGGAUAACGCAGCGAAAGUUGUGCUAAUACCGCAUACGCCCUGAGGGGGAAAGUGGGGGACCGCAAGGCCUCACGUUAUUCGAGCGGCCGACGUCUGAUUAGCUAGUUGGUGGGGUAAAGGCCUACCAAGGCGACGAUCAGUAGCGGGUCUGAGAGGAUGAUCCGCCACACUGGGACUGAGACACGGCCCAGACUCCUACGGGAGGCAGCAGUGGGGAAUUUUGGACAAUGGGCGCAAGCCUGAUCCAGCCAUUCCGCGUGAGUGAAGAAGGCCUUCGGGUUGUAAAGCUCUUUCGGCAGGAACGAAACGGCGGGCUCUAACAUAGCCUGUUACUGACGGUACCUGCAGAAGAAGCACCGGCUAACUACGUGCCAGCAGCCGCGGUAAUACGUAGGGUGCGAGCGUUAAUCGGAAUUACUGGGCGUAAAGCGUGCGCAGGCGGAUUGUUAAGCAAGACGUGAAAUCCCCGGGCUUAACCUGGGAAUGGCGUUUUGAACUGGCAGUCUAGAGUGCGUCAGAGGGGGGGUGGAAUUCCACGUGUAGCAGUGAAAUGCGUAGAGAUGUGGAGGAACACCGAUGGCGAAGGCAGCCCCCUGGGAUGACACUGACGCUCAUGUACGAAAGCGUGGGUAGCAAACAGGAUUAGAUACCCUGGUAGUCCACGCCCUAAACGAUGUCAACUGGUUGUUGGGGGAGUGAAAUCCCUUAGUAACGAAGCUAACGCGUGAAGUGACCGCCUGGGAG